GAUGAACGCUGGCGGCGUGCCUAAUACAUGCAAGUCGAGCGAACAGACGAGGAGCUUGCUCCUCUGACGUUAGCGGCGGACGGGUGAGUAACACGUGGAUAACCUACCUAUAAGACUGGGAUAACUUCGGGAAACCGGAGCUACUACCGGAUAAUAUAUUGAACCGCAUGGUUCAAUAGUGAAAGACGGUUUUGCUGUCACUUAUAGAUGGAUCCGCGCCGCAUUAGCUAGUUGGUAAGGUAACGGCUUACCAAGGCGACGAUGCGUAGCCGACCUGAGAGGGUGAUCGGCCACACUGGAACUGAGACACGGUCCAGACUCCUACGGGAGGCAGCAGUAGGGAAUCUUCCGCGAUGGGCGAAAGCCUGACGGAGCAACGCCGCGUGAGUGAUGAAGGUCUUCGGAUCGUAAAACUCUGUUAUUAGGGAAGAACAAAUGUGUAAGUAACUAUGCACGUCUUGACGGUACCUAAUCAGAAAGCCACGGCUAACUACGUG
rnacentral:rRNA from 1 species